rnacentral:rRNA from 1 species
UACGUAGGGGGCGAGCGUUGUCCGGAAUCAUUGGGCGUAAAGAGCUCGUAGGCGGUUCAGUAAGUCAGGUGUGAAAGCUCCGAGCUCAACUCGGAGAGGCCACCUGAUACUGCUGUGACUAGAAUCCAGUAGGGGAGUGUGGAACUCCUGGUGUAGCGGUGAAAUGCGCAGAUAUCAGGAAGAACACCAGCGGCGAAGGCGGCACUCUGGGCUGGUAUUGACGCUGAGGAGCGAAAGUGUGGGUAGCGAAACAGG